rnacentral:rRNA from 1 species
CCUACGGGUGGCAGCAGUCGAGAAUCAUUCACAAUGGGGGAAACCCUGAUGGUGCGACGCCGCGUGGGGGAAUGAAGGUCUUCGGAUUGUACACCCCUGUCAUGUGGGAGCAAAUUAAGAAGAUAGUACCACAAGAGGAAGAGACUGCUAACUCGGUGCGAGCAGCCUCGGUAAUACAGAGGGUUCAAGCGUUGUUCGGAAUCACUGGGCGUAAAGCGUGCGCAGGCGGUUUGGUAAGUCGGGUGUGAAAGGCUCGGGUUCAACCCGCGGACGGGAACUGAUACUGCGAGGCUGGAGUGACGGAGAGGGAGGCGGAAUUCGCGGUGUAGCAGUGAAAUGCGUAGAGAUCGAGAGGAACACUGGUGGCGAAGGCGGGUUCCUGGACAUUAACUGACGCUGAGGCGCGAAGGCGAGGGGAGCGAACGGGAUUAGAUACCCGAGUAGUC